UACAGAGGUGGCGAGCGUUAUUCGGAAUUAUUGGGCGUAAAGGGCGCGUAGGCGGCCUGCUAAGUCGGACGUGAAAUCCCUCGGCUCAACCGAGGAACUGCGUCCGAUACUGGUGGGCUUGAAUCCGGGAGAGGGAUGUGGAAUUCCAGGUGUAGCGGUGAAAUGCGUAGAUAUCGGGAGGAACACCAGUGGCGAAGGCGAGUCUCUGGGCUGAUACCGACGCUGAGGCGCGAAAGCCAGGGGAGCAAACGGG
rnacentral:rRNA from 1 species